GCCACAUUUUCAAAACUCUAUUCCUUUCCAAAUUGAAUUCCCUCAACCGUUUAGGAGUCCAUCAAAUGACAUAGGGCAGUGUUCAUAAAUUUGGAGUUUGCUCUGUUUUCUUUGCAAUCUGAGUGUUUGAAGUAAUGACUAUAAUCCAGAGAAGCUGUUGUGUUACAAAUGGACAAGGCAAGCAGCAGUACGGCCUGUAGUCAUGGAGAAAGCUCUCUAUCCAUGAUGAUAAACUUUCCCUGACACAGAGAACCAAUACCCAAGGAUACAAGAGGAGGUAUCCACCACUGAUGUCACCCAAGAUUGAUCCUUUCUCCCAGUUGAGUUGACAGUGCCAAUAUUCUGCAGGAGUGCAAGGGUGGAUUGGUGUCCCCCCUCAUGGAUGUUCACCAUUGACUGCUGAAGCAUAGUUUACAGAGUGCUGCAUCGGAAGAAAAGCAUCUGCUCCUGUAAAGACGCCUCUGCAUAAAGCUUCCUCCCUCCCUCACAGAGAUACAGAGCUUUCUCUCGCACGUGUUCCCGGCUCAUGUUGGGUGGUGGAAUGAACGCAGCGGCUGCUAACUCUGGCCCGAUGCCACUCUGCUGCCAGGCUCUUGAUCUUGCUCUUGCUGCCCUGCCCAGACAGGUGGUAGCCUGGGGGUGAAAGAGGGGCUGGGUUCACUGAGCUGUGUAGAAGACCUUUGGUUUGUCCUUUUGUUGACUGUGCAGACCCCUGUGCACAGGAGUGUUAUCAGCUGGCUGUCGAAAACUCCCACCUACCUGCCAGAACCCCUGCCACCUCUCCACAACACUUCCCGGUGUUAAUUAAAGAGGGAUAUGGCACAGGCGCCACAGCAAAUACCAUCCUCUCUGAGAGGGGUCCUAUUCCCUUUGCUCUGGAUCUAUG